GCUUCCUCUUUUUUGUAAAUAUUUACAGAAACAUCUAGUGGGAAUUAUCAAGAAUAAGAUGCUCAACAGCGAUGAACACAGGAUGAAUUUCACAAGACAAUAUGACUUUCAAAACCAGUGCAGCGCUGGAGAUGUACAGUGUGAUUUUGUUUUUAAGAAGAAAGCAGAUGGAGUGGAUCAUCCAUUUCCAAACAAGGCUAUAAUCCACAGACGAGCACCUAGGAAACAAGUCCCUCUUGGUUUGGAUGAUUUUGAGAAAAUUAGUAUUUCAGCACAAGAAAGGAGCAAUUUUUUGCCUGAAAAAUAUAAUUCUGAUGCCAUCAGAAAUACCACAGAUUCAAGGAAAACUUCCCAAAGAAUGCCCAGUGGAGAGCUGGAGAUGGAUGGAGAAAUUUAUGCCAAAGAGCGAAUACUGCUGGAGAAGCUGGGGAAGGUAGAGCAAACAAUAAGGAAAUCAAUACAGUAUGACUGUAGAGACACACAAACAGGUGAUGUGUUCAAGAGCAGAUUUGAGGGGCAACACAGUGAAGAAAGCAAACAGGAAAAACCUAAAAAAUCCAAGAUAUCUCACUUUAUGGACAUAGAAGAAGCAGACUGCCAUGGCAACUUUACCAGAUCAAGAAAUAAAGAAAAUCCCAGGACUGGAGAUCAAAUGAGAAACACAUAUGAAGUACAGCAGGCCAGUGGGGAAGUCAGUAAACAAAGAGUGAAAAGUAUAACCCUGCAAGCAAAAGAGCCCCUCAGAGGAAAAACUGUAGGUGAAAAACAUGACAAAAUAUGGGAAGAAGUAAAUGAAAAACACAGUGAACAAAACCAGCCUUUUCUGGGCAACACAACUUGGACAAGAGAGAAGGAAUACAAAAAGAUGCUUCAUAAGAGUCCCAGUGGUUCAGGUGAUAAGCAGAACAUACACCAGAAGAGUGUUCUUAACCCCUGUUCAUAGAAUGGCCACAGAAACCCAAAGAAGAGAAGAGAGAAAACUGUCUACACAAUCAGCUCCAACCCUGGUUUCCAACUGGUCUCAAAGAAACAAAGCUCAACAACUGGCAGCGCUCACAGAGACUUUUAUGGCCAAUGACAACUUGAAGUUUCUUCCCUGCGAAACCUGCAACAGGAUGUUCCCAAGUGAACGGCUGGAGUCACAUACCCAGAUCUGUACAAAGCUGAAAAGAUCUCGUCCAGUUUAUAACACAUCUGCUUAUAGGAAGAAAGGAAUAAAAUAAGGAGAGUAUUGGAAAACUCACAUCACAAGCAAAGGUUCAGUGGUGAUGAGGAAGAAAUUACAAUAUCACAAGGAAAGAUGUGACCUCUGCAGGGGUCAACUCCAAGCUGGAAAUUAAAGGCCAAGAAGACCCAAAUAAAACAUGGACCUUCAGAUUUCCUGCUAUCCCCCUCCUACUAGGGUGUGAUUGAAAAUUUUCUUCUUCUAAAAAAAAAAUGAAAGUACAAAAAUAAAAUGUUUACCGUUUUAAGCAGCUUUUUUUAUUUAUUUAUUUCUGGCUUGUACACAAAACAAAAGAAACAGUCAUGAAGAAAUAUAAGUGGACAGAAGCAACAAUAGUCAGAACAUUAAAGGCUAAAACAGCCAAAUAAAACAUCUCACCAAAGGCACAGUAUUGUGAUAUCUGCAAACUUUCUAAAUUCAUUGGGUUGGUGCAGUUUACUGCACAGAUAUAUCACAAGUGUAGACUGCAGACAGCUCACAUCCCCAUGAGUUGGGGUUUAUUAACUUUGAAGACAAAGAUACAGCCAUGGUCAUAAGUUUCAUGACAAAAUAUUUCCUUAGAAAUUCAAAAGGAUACAAGAUAAAGUGCUCAAAGUAAACGCAAACACAAUAAGAAA